UUUACUUUUCUGUCUAUAUACCUUCCGCCGUUUCAUUUUUUGCCUUCACUUUUGCUUGGCUUCUUCUCUGUAACACAUGCCUCUGUUUGAGAUGGUGCUUCGAGCGUGACUUGCUGGUGACAAAGAACCGAAACCCUUCUAGUUCAAUUUCGCCCAUGUCCCUCAAGAAGAUACAUCUCCCGUCGUUACUUUCUCCCAUCGAGAAAACAUAGAGCCACUAUCAAGAUAGAUUCACUUGUUGUUACAUCUCUUCAACUUGUGUUGAGUUGGAUCUGAUCUAAUUCCCCCAAAUAUGGAACCCUAAUUCAGUAAUUUGUAUUUAACCAAAUCUUUGGCUCACAUGAUACAAGAGUAUAUCUCUGAUUUGUUUUAUUUCAAUUGCAGAAAUGAAACUAAAAAGUUAAAAGUUUGCUUUCAGAGUGCUGUAUAAACAAGUAUAACUAGAAGAAUAUGAAAGAGUUGCUUCUCUACUUGAUGAGGAGAGGAAGAGUAUGCUACUUCUAGUUGAUGAGAAGGUCAAGCCUAUGUUGUUUCAAGUUGGCAAAUGGAUAUGCAAACUGAAGUAUGACAAUGUGCAAAGGCUACUUGAACAAGUUUUGAUGCGGAUGAGAAACAAGUUUUAUUGGGACCCUUGCAUUUUAUCAUAUGUAAAUGUAUUUUAGUGACAAUAUUUGUAGAGUUCAUUAUUUACUUGAGCUGAAAAUAGUUGUACAUUAACGUGAUUUUGUAAUAUUUGAAUGAAAUAAUUUAUGUGUCUUGGUUUAUUUCAAAA